rnacentral:rRNA from 1 species
AUUGAACGCUGGCGGCAGGCCUAACACAUGCAAGUCGAACGGUAACAGGAAGCAGCUUGCUGCUUUGCUGACGAGUGGCGGACGGGUGAGUAAUGUCUGGGAAACUGCCUGAUGGAGGGGGAUAACUACUGGAAACGGUAGCUAAUACCGCAUAACGUCGCAAGACCAAAGAGGGGGACCUUAGGGCCUCUUGCCAUCGGAUGGGCCCAGAUGGGAUUAGCUAGUAGGUGGGGUAACGGCUCACCUAGGCGACGAUCCCUAGCUGGUCUGAGAGGAUGACCAGCCACACUGGAACUGAGACACGGUCCAGACUCCUACGGGAGGCAGCAGUGGGGAAUAUUGCACAAUGGGCGCAAGCCUGAUGCAGCCAUGCCGCGUGUAUGAAGAAGGCCUUCGGGUUGUAAAGUACUUUCAGCGGGGAGGAAGGGAGUAAAGUUAAUACCUUUGCUCAUUGACGUUACCCGCAGAAGAAGCACCGGCUAACUCCGUA